GGAGAAAGUAAAGUGGCGCACGGGUGAGUAACACGUGGGUAAUCUACCCUUGAAUUUGGGAUAACUUCGCGAAAGCGAUGCUAAUACCGAAUAUUAUAGUUUUAACUCCGGUUUUAAUUAUGAAAGGUGACCUCUUCUUGAAAGUUGCCGUUUAAGGAUGAGCCCGCGUACCAUUAGCUAGUUGGUAGGGUAAUGGCCUACCAAGGCUACGAUGGUUAGCUGGUCUGAGAGGAUGACCAGCCACACUGGAACUGAAACACGGUCCAGACUCCUACGGGAGGCAGCAGUAGGAAUUUUGCGCAAUGGGGGAAACCCUGACGCAGCAACGCCGCGUGAGUGAAGAAGGCUUUCGGGUCGUAAAGCUCUGUCAGAUGGGAAAAAAGUUCAUUGAUUAAUAGUCUAUGAAUCUGAUGGUACCAUCAGAGGAAGCACCGGCUAACUCCGUGCCAGCAACCGCGGUAAUACGGAGGGUGCAAGCGUUGUUCGGAAUUACUGGGCGUAAAGAGCGUGUAGGCGGUAUGAUAAGUCAGAUGUGAAAGCCCUGGGCUUAACCUAGGAAGUGCAUUUGAUACUGUCAUUCUUGAGUAUGGGAGAGGAGAGUGGAAUUCCCAGUGUAGAAGUGAAAUUCGUAGAUAUUGGGAGGAACACCCGUGGCGAAGGCGACUCUCUGGACCAAUACUGACGCUGAGACGCGAAAGCGUGGGGAGCAAACAGGAUUAGAUACCCUGGUAGUCCACGCUGUAAACUAUGAGAACUAGGUGUAGCGGGUAUUGACCCCUGCUGUGCCGAGGCUAACGCAUUAAGUUCUCCGCCUGGGGAGUACGGCCGCAAGGCUAAAACUCAAAGGAAUUGACGGGGACCCGCACAAGCGGUGGAGCAUGUGGUUUAAUUCGACGCAACGCGAAGAACCUUACCUGGAUUUGACAUCCUCUGACAACCAUAGAGAUAUGGCUUUUUAUGCUUGCAUAAACAGAGUGACAGGUGCUGCAUGGCUGUCGUCAGCUCGUGUCGUGAGAUGUUGGGUUAAGUCCCGCAACGAGCGCAACCCUUGUUUUUAGUUGCCAUUAUUAAGUUAGGCACUCUAGAAAUACUGCCUCGGUUAACGGGGAGGAAGGUGGGGAUGACGUCAAGUCCUCAUGGCCUUUAUAUCCAGGGCUACACACGUGCUACAAUGGGCUGUACAAAGAGUUGCCACUUCGCGAGAA
rnacentral:rRNA from 1 species